rnacentral:lncRNA from 1 species
CAUCAGCAUGUUAUCAGCGCUCUUCUCAUCCUAAUCCAAAACAUAGCACCCUACCAGCUACUAUGAGCUACUUAACUCUGUCCUAACUGGAACCAGGACAACCUGCUCUUCACUUACAGUGGGUAGGACUUUGAUCCCCCAGCCUCUGUCUAUGGGUUCAGGGAAAUGAAAGACUUGGGAAGUCCUUCUACCAGUGCAGACGGAGGCAAAGAAGUUGCUGAGUACCGCAGCCUUCUCCAUUUUUGUUGUUACCAAUUACUUAGAUAUAGAAACUCACUCCUAAUAUAAGAAAUUAGCCACCUAUAAUUGCUUACACACUACUAUUUUCACCCCUCAGUCUAUUUUCACAGAUGUUAAAGGUGCAUGGUGGCCCUCGGGGACUCCUGUCACCCCAGUGCAGCAGCCUGAAGGAAGCUGGGUCCUCUCUUGUGCUCUUCCUUGAGGCUCUGUGCAGAAGGGAUGCCACCUCUCGCACAAGGGCUGGGGGAUGGGAAAGAAGCACUAACGCAACCCCUGAGAAUCGGCAACAGAGUUCUUUAUUGCCAGGACAUCUUGCAGGUAUUUCAGCUUUCAGGACAGACUGUGAGACUACCUUCAAGCAAUGUAAGAAGAUGGGCAUAGGCAAGAUAUUUGUACUGUGAUUACUCAAGCAAUUCUACCUGAAUUUCAUUACAGCUAUAUCCUUUCUAUCAUUUCAUAAGUACUAUGACUUCUUGCUUGUUUGCUGAGCUGCCAAAUCCUUAUCAACGUGGUUGCUCUUUCACUGAAAGAAUUAAAAAUAUUAAUUCAUUUUAGUCAACAAAUGGCAUCGUAUUAGACUUAAUACACUUGUCUAAAGUGAAACGUCUUUUCUUAUGGCCAAGUAGUGUGAGGUUUUGGCCUGAGAGAUGGUAAGACUGUCAUUUAGAUGUAACAAGUUGAUAUAUGGGAAACCUGAAGUAAGAAUAAAAAUUAGUUGAUGAUGCA